rnacentral:tRNA from 1 species
AACCGCGUAGUUCAGUUGGCAGAGCAUUGGGCUAGCAUUCCAAAGGUCGUAGGUUCGAUUCCCACCGUGGUCA